CUACGGAGCCACAUUUCAACCGCAGGUCCAGGAUCGGUAUGUGAGUGCGAGUCAUUCUGGGCACUUCAACCUGGAAAAUGACAAAAAGGUCGUGAAGGAGGACAGAGGGCCUCCCUUGCAGCUCUUUUAGCCUCCUCACUUAUGGCUAGCGGAGCCGUCCUAAAUUUGAUGGUGCCUUUAUUU